UCCUGAAGGCAGCAAUCAGCUCCAUGGUGUCGGUGACGGAUGUGCUUACCAUGAUGUCCCACCCCCUCAACUCCGAGCUGCCCCUCUACCAUUUCAAGUGAGCGAGGGCAUCAGUCUGCUUUCGUCUGGGUUAUUUGUAGAGUGCUUUUUGUAACAGCAGAAGAUUCUGCUUCAUUGGCUGCCGGUAUUUUGUUUGGGUGAGAAGCACUAGGUUGAUGCCCAUAAACACCGAAACUGUCCUUGAUCCUGAUCCUGAACUGUAGUUAUUGCUGGAUUGGAAAAUGCAUGUUUUCGACCUUGGUCGGCUGCAGUUUAAAGUGCAAAACCCGUCUGAUCGAGAUCGAGUCAAGCUAGUUGUAGUAUUGGUGGCAGUAUUCCCGUUUUCAAGAGGUCUCUAGAAUAUCCAUAGAUGCCAUAUGAGAGUCAAGCUAAUCCAUCCCAAAUUACAAGAUGUUUGACUUUUUUUACAUCAAAUUUG
rnacentral:lncRNA from 1 species